UACGAAGGGGGCUAGCGUUGCUCGGAAUCACUGGGCGUAAAGCGCACGUAGGCGGGUUCUUAAGUCAGGGGUGAAAUCCUGGAGCUCAACUCCAGAACUGCCUUUGAUACUGGGAAUCUCGAGUCCGGGAGAGGUGAGUGGAACUGCGAGUGUAGAGGUGAAAUUCGUAGAGUAUUCGCAAGAACACCGGUGGCGAAGGCGGUGAGCUGGGCAGUAGCUGACACUGAGGCGCGACAGCGUGGGGAGCAACAGG
rnacentral:rRNA from 1 species